AUCUCUCUACAUCAGGCACUUUCCACAAGAUAAAAAGAUUUUUUUUUUUAUAAAUGUUUUGUGUCUUUUAGUUGUUGUGUGCAUUUUGCCUGUUGUUAAUUGUACAAUGUACAACAAUCCUGAUUAUUGAAUAACUCUGUUCAUCAGACUUGUCUGAGACUCCAGCACGAGACUGCAAGGCUAGCAGAACUAAAAACAAAGCUACAUCGCACAGAUAAAGGGGCGUCACAAUGGCUUUCUGAUGUGAAAGAAUGGGCAGCUGAUGAGACAUCAGAAACAUCUCAUGCCAGUCAAGGCACCACACACAGAAAACUUCAGCAGUCAAUUGAGGGGCUUUAUCUUGGUGUGAUGCUCUGCAAGCAAACUCUCUACUGUCAGAAUGACAGCAGCAAGCUUCGCCACCGCCUUCGAAGAAAGCUGGCAGAGGACAAAAAGCUCCUUCUUCAGGAGAUACAGAAAUACAAUGAUCUUGUACUAGACUCUCUGCCACAAACAUUGGCUGUGGUGGAGGAGCAUUCCCUCACUGGAGAGAGCAGUGUGUCUCAGAUAUGGCCGUGGGACGUUCAUGGCAGUGGUAUGUCACUAUUCAGCCAAGAAACGAUUGCAUGACCAAGUGAUGUUGACAAUGCGACUGCAAGAGGAAAGGGGCAUUGUGGUGUUGCAGAUGGCACAACACUGCACGUAGUUGCAGAGCCUGGCAGUGGCUGUGAAGAACAAGAUGGCUGAGGAGGACAAGGGAAAUUAAGGACUUUGCUGUCUCUUAAGAAGAAGACCGUCAGUGGUGUCAGAAGGGUUACAAGUCGUCCUUCAACAAUACAAGACUGCAUUAGGUCUUGAGGCCUCUGUCCUUCUACAUGUUGAAGAAGAAGAUCAAAGUGACCUCAGCAGUCCAGAUACCAGCGAGGAUGAAGAGGAAAACUUAAUUUAGAUAGAAACUGCACAAAGGACUGCGUUUAAGGAAAUGGACUUGGCAUAUAUCUGUUUAGUGUUUGUAUGCUGCUUACUACAUUAAAAUCUGUAUGCAUCCUAUAUUGUUGAAAUGUUCAACCUGUGUCUAGAUUAUCAAGCAUGUUAUUUAGCACGUUGAUGCUCCUUAAAUAUGCACAAACAUCUCAAUAUAGGUGUAACAAUCGUAUGAUAUUAUCAGAUGUAAUAAUUGAACUGAUGUUAUAUUUGGCUAGUGUAUUCAUAAUUUGUGUAUUUAAAGUUGCUAAUGGGCAUUGUUAGCCACAUCACAAACUCAAUGUUAAAACACUGCUUAUUGUGCCUUAUUGUGUUUAUGUACUUGCAUUGGUGCAGUAAUAUUGAUGUUAUGCAGUAAGGUCAUUAGUGUGUUUUACAAUGGCUUUGAACAAAGCUCAACCAAUCAGAAUAAUCAUUGAUAAUAAAGUAAAAGUAUAACGGGUAAGUUGAUAUGAAAUAUUGUAAGCACAUUCAUCAGGAUGACUUUGCUGACCUUGUGACCUUUAUUACCACAUUUAGGCCAAACUGUGAAAACUCUACUUGAUUGAUUGUAUUAUAGGAUAUAACUGUUGUGCACCAUUGAAGAUAAACAUCAUAAAUUCUUUCUUAAAGAUGUAUAAUUUGUUGGCAAUGUAUCUGUCACUAUCAGUUCUGUUCUCAUAAGCACAUUAUACAUUAAACACUAUAGUAUGCAAAAGAAAAAUACACUUUUAUAUGUUAUGAUUAUACUUAUAUUGUAUAUUACUACAUUUGAUAGAUAACUUUAUUCCCUGUUCUGCUACUUUUCAAAUGAGCUUCACAGUCUUAUUAUGAAAUUCAGCCUUAUGGCUUGAUUGACAAAUUUGCUUUUCAUGUAUUUUCACUGGUAUUAUUGUAAAAGACAAAAAAUAAAGUGUUUCCAAACAUGA